AAACAAAACGAAUAGCAUGUUAGAAUUCUUCAAAAGUCUGAUAAUGUUCACAAAAUUCAAAAAGAUAUUGUAAGGUCGCUCUGAUUGUUCGUGUUCUUAAGUGUGACGAAUCGGCCACGUGCUGUGUGUAUAGAGAGGGGGUUCACUUCCCCCCCCCCCCCAUGUCAGCGGGGCAACCGUUUCUGUGUUAUGUGAGGUCACGGACCGCGCGGUGUUGGGUGACGCGUCGCGGCAGGCGCCAGGAGGGCGAGUGCCGAUUCCGGGAAGUCGGUAUUGUGCGCAGGGUGUUGGCAGUUCGCCGACGGUCACACAAGUCCACACAGACCAGCCUUGAAAGGGACCGCUGUAUACGGUAUUGUGGCUCUGGCGCCCGAGUACCUGACUAGUUGGAGGCGCCGCCGAGGUUAAGAAGGGCUUAGCAACCUUGACCCCGUGCCGCGCGUCCGGAACGCAAUCGCCAGUCUUGUUGUUGGGUGCGACUGCCUGUGUGAUGUCGAAGGCCAGCUUACAGUGCACGCUGUAGGGAUGCGGUGCACACGUGGAGAGUGGAUUCGGACGGCGGCGUCUUGUAAACGCGCACUCGGAGAACUUUGUCUUGUAGACAAUAAGUUUGAAGGACAAGGAGGGCCAUCCGUCUCCCACACGGCCGAACUUUGAGUACAGCGGCACUACGUGGUGUCGAUGCCCCUGCUUCCGAGACAUUUGCGGCCUAGACGCCGUUGGGAUUUGAGGCGGUCUAGCGAUAACUUGUUCGGGCCUGGCGUGUUUUGCUGAGCCCGUCACUAACUACGUAGAAACGAGAGGGCAACGGAGUUUUGGGGAAGAAGGAAAAGAGCUUUGUUUUUCAAUAUGUUUAUUUUUAAGAGUAAGCCCAUCCCUUUGGGUUGUGGCUUAACAAACGGUUGACUCUGAUUGGCAACUGAACCUGUGGGACGGGCCAACGGCCCUACCGCCUUUUUUUCUUUGUAUAUUUGGGCUAUAAAAAUCGGGACGACAUGCUGUCCCCCAGACUUGGCUGAAAUCAGGAUUACUGAUAGAUCAGUGAGGCUCCGUACCAUGUACGUUAGACUUGGCUGAAAUCAGGAUUACUGAUAGAUCAGUGAGGCUCCGUACCAUGUACGUUAGACUUGGCUGAAAUCAGGAUUGCUGAUAGAUCAGUGAGCCUCCGUACUAUGUACGUUAAAACGAGUCUGGGCUCUAACAGUCAUUGAGACAGUCGAAGAGUGAGACUUUGUUUCUCAAUUGUUCAAGUUUGUAAUGUAUUUGUUUUACCUGCCAUGUAUAUAGAAAAAUUCAACUGUAAAUAUUUCUUGUACAUCUGACCUCAUCGCUUCCUGCCUGCGUUUGAUCAACUGCCGAUCAUCGUCCGAGAAGCUUCAAGUUCCAACGGUGAAGCGAGGACAACAGAGAACGAACGAAACUUUACUGAUAUCUAGAUAUGCAAUGGCAAGCCCUUCCGUGUCUUCCAAAGACAAUGCCUACACCUAGCCACAGCAGCU